rnacentral:rRNA from 1 species
GUGGGGAAUAUUGGGCAAUGGGCGCAAGCCUGACCCAGCGACGCCGCGUGAGGGAAGAAGGCCUUAGGGUCGUAAACCUCUGUUGUGUGGGAAGAAGAGCGUGACGGUACCACACGAGGAAGUCCCGGCUAACUACGUGCCAGCAGCCGCGGUAAUACGUAGGGGACGAGCGUUGUCCGGAUUUACUGGGCGUAAAGGGCGCGUAGGCGGUCAUUUAAGUCAGCUGUGAAAUGGUUUGGCUUAACCGGAUCAUGCGGUUGAAACUGGAUGACUGGAGUGCUGGAGAGGCAAGUUGAAUUCCCAGUGUAGGGGUGAAAUGCGUAGAUAUUGGGAAGAACACCGGUGGCGAAGGCGACUUGCUGGCCAGCAACUGACGCUGAGGCGCGAAAGCCAGGGGAGCAAACGGGAUUAGAAACCCGAGUAGUCC